rnacentral:ncRNA from 1 species
CAGAGUAGGUGCCCUGCGUGAAGUGCUGCCAAAAUGGGGAGUUGUCUGGCAGACGAAGGACGUGCGUCCGCGAUGGGGUCACCGCACCCGCUGU